rnacentral:snRNA from 1 species
GGAUGUGAGGGCGAUCUGGCUGUGAUACCUGUCACCCCAUUGAUGGCCAGAGCUGAUUCAGCUGAUCUGGCUCACUAGGUGGGCGUCCCCUUCCUCCCUCAUUGCUCUAUGUGUGUCCCUCCGGAAGCUGCAUGCUUGGUCAAAGAGGAUGACCUUCCCAGAUAGAGAAGGACCAUUAUUCCAUCAAGGGUAUAGGUGCAGCUGCAGUCCCUUGUUAGAAUCUCCAAACAAGCUCUCAAAGUGGUGUGAAAGAUACAUUUUUCUCGUAUGCAUUGUUUUGCAGUGGAAGUGGAGAAUAUAAAU